rnacentral:rRNA from 1 species
AUUGAACGCUGGCGGCAGGCCUAACACAUGCAAGUCGAGCGGAGCGGCGGACGGGUGAGUAAGGCCUAGGAAUCGGCCUGGUAGUGGGGGAUAACGUCAGGAAACGGGCGCUAAUACCGCAUCCUCUCCGAUUAGCCUCGGGCGGAUGUGCUUGUUGGGGGGGUAAAGGCCACCAAAGGCGAAGAUCCGUAACUGGUCUGAGAGGAGGAUCAGUCACACUGGAACUGAGACACGGUCCAGACUCCUACGGGCGGCAGCAGUAGGGAAUCUUCGACAAUGGGCGAAAGUCUGACGCAGCAAGGCCGCGUGAAUGAAGAAGGUUUUCGGGUCGUAAAGCUCUUUUGUUAGGGAAGCGUUAUCCAACGAGAAAGCAACGGCUAACUACGUGCCAGCAGCCGCGGUAAUAC